rnacentral:rRNA from 1 species
CUAGGGGGUGCUUCCAUCUGGAAGAAUCUGGAGACAGGUGCUGCAUGGCUGUCGUCAGCUCGUGUCGUGAGAUGUUGGGUUAAGUCCCGCAACGAGCGCAACCCUUGCCUUUAGUUGCCAGCAGUUCGGCUGGCACUCUAAGGGACUGCCGUGUUAACCGAGAGUGGGGAUGACGUCAAGUCCUCAUGGCCUUUAUGACCAGGGCUACACACGUACUACAAUGGCCGAUACAAAGGGCAGCGACACUGCGAGGUGAAGCCAAUCCCGUAAAAUCGGUCUCAGUCCGGAUUGGAGUCUGCAACUCGACUCCAUGAAGUUGGAAUCGCUGGUAAUCGUGGAUCAGCAUGCCACGGUGAAUACGUUCCCGGGCCUU